GUGCUCACUUCGGUAGUACAUCUGCUAAAAUUGGAACGAUACAGAGAUUAGCAUGGCCACUAUGAAAGGAUGACACACAAAUUCAUGAAAUGUUCCAUAAUAUU